GAUGAACGCUGGCGGCGUGCCUAAUACAUGCAAGUCGAGCGAACAGACGAGGAGCUUGCUCCUCUGACGUUAGCGGCGGACGGGUGAGUAACACGUGGAUAACCUACCUAUAAGACUGGGAUAACUUCGGGAAACCGGAGCUAAUACCGGAUAACAUGUUGAACCGCAUGGUUUAACAGUGAAAGACGGUCUUGCUGUCACUUAUAGAUGGAUCCGCGCCGCAUUAGCUAGUUGGUAAGGUAACGGCUUACCAAGGCAACGAUGCGUAGCCGACCUGAGAGGGUGAUCGGCCACACUGGAACUGAGACACGGUCCAGACUCCUACGGGAGGCAGCAGUAGGGAAUCUUCCGCAAUGGGCGAAAGCCUGACGGAGCAACGCCGCGUGAGUGAGGAAGGUCUUCGGAUCGUAAAACUCUGUUAUUAGGGAAGAACAAAUGCGUAAGUAACUAUGCACGUCUUGACGGUACCUAAUCAGAAAGCCACGGCUAACUACGUG
rnacentral:rRNA from 1 species